GACGAACGCUGGCGGCGUGCUUAACACAUGCAAGUCGAACGAUGAACCGGAGCUUGCUCUGGGGAUUAGUGGCGAACGGGUGAGUAACACGUGGGCAACCUGCCCCAGACACCGGGAUAACCAUUCGAAAGGAUGGCUAAUACCGGAUACGACCACUUCGGGCAUCCGAUGGUGGUGGAAAGGAUUCUGGUCUGGGAUGGGCCCGCGGCCUAUCAGCUUGUUGGUGGGGUAAUGGCCUACCAAGGCGACGACGGGUAGCCGGCCUGAGAGGGCGACCGGCCACACUGGGACUGAGACACGGCCCAGACUCCUACGGGAGGCAGCAGUGGGGAAUAUUGCGCAAUGGGCGAAAGCCUGACGCAGCGACGCCGCGUGAGGGACGAAGGUCUUCGGAUUGUAAAGCUCUGUCCUCAAGGAAGAUAAUGACGGUACUUGAGGAGGAAGCCCCGGCUAACUACGUGCCAGCAGCCGCCGUAA
rnacentral:rRNA from 1 species